UACGGAGGGUGCAAGCGUUAUCCGGAUUCACUGGGCUUAAAGGGUGCGUAGGUGGGUUGGUAAGUCAGUGGUGAAAUCUCCGAGCUUAACUUGGAAACUGCCGUUGAUACUAUCAAUCUUGAAUAUCGCGUAGGUAAGCGGAAUAUGUCAUGUAGCGGUGAAAUGCUUAGAUAUGACAUAGAACACCAAUUGCGAAGGCAGCUUACUUCACGAUCAUUGACACUGAGGCACGAAAGCGUGGGGAUCAAACAGG
rnacentral:rRNA from 1 species